GUAGCUCAGUGGUUAAGAGCGCUGGAUGAUCUUCCAGAGAACUCGGGUUCAAUUCCCAGC
rnacentral:tRNA from 1 species